UACGUAGGUGACCAGCGUUGUCCGGAUUUACUGGGCGUAAAGAGCGCGCAGGCGGUCGUUCAAGUCGAGUGUGAAAGCCCCCGGCUCAACUGGGGAGGGUCACGCGAUACUGAUCGACUCGAAGGCAGGAGAGGGUAGUGGAAUUCCCGGUGUAGUGGUGAAAUGCGUAGAUAUCGGGAGGAACACCAGUGGCGAAGGCGACUACCUGGCCUGUUCUUGACGCUGAGGCGCGAAAGCUAGGGGAGCAAACGGGG
rnacentral:rRNA from 1 species